rnacentral:lncRNA from 1 species
AAGUAAUGCCUAAAUACCAGAAAUUCAAAAUGAAUUUGAACACAAAAUUAAUCAUUUUCCGGGAGCUGCAAGUCAAGGUAGUGGUGUUCAUCAAAAGUGCAACAAAUAUUAGGGUAUGUAUGGCAGGCUCCUCAUGUAUGCUGAACCAGAAUCGGUGACUGAAUAAGCUGUGCAUAUUAGAUAUACUAACACACAUAAGGGUGUCUUCUGAGGCUAUUCCUUUUGCUCUUUUUGCUAAGAUAUACUUUGAGGUACUUUUCUAUGCAACAUAAGGUAAACAUGAGCCUGUCAGGUAAAUAUCUCAUGCUUACACAAUAGUGUUAAAUAACUAGCACAAUGCUAUUAGAUCGAGGACUAAGUAGAAUAACUGGACUAGCACUGUGGCAAUCCGUCUUUAUUACAGUUUACUGUUUUCUUUCCCGUGCUCACUGUAAAAGCAAUAAAGUCACAUUAAAAAGAUAAUACAACUUAAAUAAUUAAAAAAGGCGAGAAAACAACUUGUGACUAACAAUAUUAUAUCUGAAAAACGGGGAAGUAGGAAAAUAGAGAAAAAUAGCUUAAUAUAAGAUGAAAAUAUUACAACAAAGCAUGCACGAAAACAAAAAUUUUUGCUUAAUACAAAACAGCAAAAAUUAAAAAUAUCCUAUCAAGAUAAAGAAAAAAAUAUAUAUUUUCAAAAGCUCCUAUAAAUUACAAAACAAGGACGCUGUAUAGCAUAGAAGAAAAUAAGAAAAAAACCCAAAGAAAACCCUCUCCUUACAAAAACAGAAACAGAAAGACAGUCUACGUGUUAUGCGAACGCGAUUGUUGUUGUCACGUCAGCUCUUCUCGUCAGCUGGGAAAUCACUUUAUUCCGCUGUCUCUACUUCUGAAAGGUUUGGAAAGCUAUGAUGCAGGAGGACAGCAAUGGUGACUUUGAAAUCGUUGACAAGAAGAUGGCCACUCUGUUGACCUCAGAGUGAUUUACACGCAUGUUAUAGUGAGAUAAUCUUCUUAUGAUGUUCUGCUUCAUGCAUGAGUAAAUCUCCAUAAAGGAACAUGAACACACAAGACAUUAUACAGCAAGCUCAAGAUGCCUUUGACCGUAUGACACAUCGUACGUCUCCUCUCCUUCCCACACAUGUGGAGUGCAAUAUAGGUAAAUUGGAUGUUUACCUGAAAUUAGAGUUUCCCUUUUUGCUAUUCCAGUAUAACUGCCUUUUCUUUUGUUGUUUUU